rnacentral:lncRNA from 1 species
GAGUCAGGGUUUCACCAUGUCGGCCAGGCUGGUCUUGAACUCCUGACCUCAGUUGAUCCACCUGCCUCGGCCUCCCAAAGUGCUGGGGUUACAGGGAUGACCCACCAUGCCCGGCCGCAUGUAUGGUUUAAAUGCUGAAAACGACACAACACUGAUGAAAGAAAUCAAAGAUCUAUGUAAAUGGAAACCCCAUACUGUACUCAGGAAUUGGAAGACUCAACAAAGUAAAGAUGCCAACUUUCCCCAAAUUGAUAUACAGGUUUAGCACACUUUCUAUAAAAAUCCCAGUCAUAUUUUUUAUAGAUGAAGACAAGAUUACUCUAAAAUUUAUAUGGAAAGGCAAAGGAAAUAGAAUAGCUAAAAGAAUUUUGAAGAAGAAAAAUAAAGUAGCAGCACAUAUAUCAAUGAAUCAAAAUAGAAAAUCCAGAAAUAGGCCCACCCAAAUAUGCCCAACCAAUUUUUGACAAAAGUGCAAAAGCAAUUCAAUAGAGGAAAGAUAACGUUUUCAAAAAAUGGCGCUGGAGCAAAUGGACACAAAACUUAGACCUAAGUCUGACGUCUUAUACAAAAAUUAAUGGAUCAUAGACUUAAGAAGUAAAACAUAAAACUAUAAAACUUUUUUUUUUUUUGAGACAGGGUCUCCCUCAGUCCCCCAGGCUGGAGUGCAGUGGUGCAAUCUCAGCUCAUUGCAACCUCUGCCUCCUGGGCUCAGUUGAUCUUCCUGCCUCAGCCUUCCAAGUAGCUGGGACUUAAAGGCGUGAGCCACCACACCUGACUAAUUUUCGUAUUUUUUGUAGAGAUGGGGUUUCGCCAUGUUGCCCGGGCUGUUCUCGAACUCCUGAGCUCAAGCAAUCUGCCCACCUCAGCCUCCCAAAGCGCUGGGAUUACAGGCAUGAGCCACCAUCCCAGCCAAAACUAUAAAACUUUUAGAAAAGAACAUAGAAGAAAAUCUUUGGGUCCUGGGGGCAAAGAGCUCUGAGACUUGACAUCAAAAGCAUGCCGCAUAAUAGGAAAAUACUAGACUUUAUUUAGGGGUUAAGAGUUUAGACUCUGGACUCUCUCAGCCUUGGUUUCACUAGUUAGCUCUAUCACUAACUACAUUGGGCAUUGAAAAUUCCUCUGUUGUCCCACGUGGUGCAUGGAUGAUUGUAGACGAGGACACUGAGAUCCUGAAGGCAGAAGUAAUUUCUCUAAGCAACGUUGUUGGUUGGUGGCAGAGUCUGGGUUACAACCCCUGGUUUCCUGAUUCCGAGUCCAAGUGAAAUACUUUUGCCCCUGCAGUAGACCCUGCUACAGAGGAUAAAAAGGCACGUCAUAGGCUAGGAGAAAAAUUUUGCCUACCACAUAUGUAACCAAGGACUAGCAGCUAGGACAUCUGAAGAAUUCUCAACAUUCAACGGGGUAGAAGAAUGAACGAUUCAAUAGAAUAUGGGCAAAAGACAUGAAGAGGCAUUUUACCAAACAUAGGGUGCUAUGGUCCGAAUGUUUGCAUUCUCCUCAAAUUCCUGUGUUGAAAUCCUAACCCCCAAGGUAUUGGUAUUAGGAGGCAGGGGCCCUGGGAAGUGAUUAGGUCAUAAAGGUGGAGUCCUCAUGGAUGGGAUUAGUGUCUUUAUAAAAGAGACCUUUGCCAUGUGAGGUUACAGUGAGAAGACAUCUGUCUAUGAAGAAAGUGGGCCCUCACCAAACACAGUCUGCUGGCACUUUGCACUUCAACUCCCCAGCUUCCAGAACUGUAAGGAAUAUAAGUCUGUUGUUGGUAAGCCACCCGGUCUAUGAUAUUUUGUUAUAGCAGCCCAAACAGACUAAGACAGGUGACAAAUAAACAUGAAAAGAUGUUCAACAUCAUUAGCCAUUAGGGAAAUGCAGAUUAAAACCACAGCGAAAUAUCAUGAUACAGUUUUCAGCAUGGCUAAACUAGAAAAUAGUGACACCACCAAAUGCCGACAAGGCUGUGGGGAAACUGGGUUGUUCAGACACUGCCACUGGGGCUGUAGCGUACUAUAGCCACUUUCAUAAACAGUUUGUCAGUUUCUUAAAAAACUAAACCUGCAACUACCAUAUGACCCAGCAAUUACACCCCUGGGCACCUACCCAAGAGAAAUGAAAACUCAACGUUUGCGCAAAAACCUGUGUAGGAAUGUUCAAGCAGCUUUAUUCAUAAUAUGCCCAAACAGGAAACAACUCAGCUGUCCUUCAGUAGGUAAAUAGUUAAGCAAAUUGUCAUACCCCUGUGUCAUGGAGCACUACCUAGCAAUAACAAGGAGCAAAUUAUUGAUACAUAACAAUCUGGAUGAAUCUCCAGAGAAUUAUGUUGAAUGAAAAAAGCCAGCCCCUGAAGGAUACAUACUGUAUGAUGCCAUUUACAUAACAUUCUUGAAAUUCUAAAAUUACA